rnacentral:lncRNA from 1 species
AUGGGAAAGACUAGAGAUCUCUUCAAGAAAAUUAGAGAUACCAAGGGAACAUUUCAUGCAAAGAUGUGCUCAAUAAAGGACAGAAAUGGUAUGGACCUAACAGAAGCAGAAGAGAUUAAGAAGAGGUGGCAAGAAUACACAGAAGAACUGUACAAAAAAGAUCUUCAUGAUCAAGAUAAUCACGAUGGUGUGAUCACUCACCUAGAGCCAGACAUCCUGGAAUGUGAAGUCAAGUGGGCCUUAGAAAGCAUCACUACAAACAAAGCUAGUGGAGGUGAUGGAAUUCCAGUUGAGCUAUUUCAAAUCCUGAAAGAUGAUGCUGUGAAAGUGCUGCACUCAAUAUGCCAGCAAAUUUGGAAAACUCAGCAGUGGCCACAGGACUGGAAAAGGUCAGUUUUCAUUCCAAUCCCAAAGAAAGGCAAUGCCAAACAAUGCUCAAACUACCACACAAUUGCACUCAUCUCACACGCUAUUAAAGUAAUGCUCAAAAUUCUCCAAGCCAGGCUUCAGCAAUACAUGAACCGUGAACUUCCAGAUGUUCAAGCUGGUUUUAGAAAAGGCAGAGGAACCAGAGAUCAAAUUCCCAACAUCCGCUGGAUCAUCGAAAAAGCAAGAGAGUUUCAGAGAAACAUCUAUUUCUGCUUUAUUAACUAUGCCAAAGCCUUUGACUGUGUGGAUCACAAUAAACUGUGGAAAAUUCUGAAAGAGAUGGGCAUACCAGACCACCUGACCUGUUUCUUGAGAAACCUCUAUGCAGGUCAGGAAGCAACAGUUAGAACUGGACAUGGAACAACAGACUGGUACCAAAUAGGAAAAGGAGUACGUCAAGGCUGUAUACUAUCACCCUGCUUAUUUAACUUCUAUGCAGAGUACAUCAUGAGAAACGCUGGACUGGAAGAAACACAACGUGGAAUCAAGAUUACCAGGAGAAAUAUCAAUAACCUCAGAUAUGCAGAUGACACCACCGUUAUGGCAGAAAGUGAAGAGGAACUAAAAAGCCUCUUGAUGAAAGUAAAAAUGGAGAGUGCAAAAGUUGGCUUAAAUCUCAACAUUCAGAAAACAAAGAUCAUGGCAUCCGGACCCAUCACUUCAUGGCAAGUAGAUGGGAAAACGGUAGAAACAGUGUCAGACUUUAUUUUGGGGGGCUCCAAUAUCAAUGCAGAUGGUGAUUGCAACCAUGAAAUUAAAAGACACUUACUCCUUGGAAGAAAAGCUAUGACCAACCUAGAUAGCAUAUUCAAAAGCAGAGACAUUACUUUGCCAACAAAUGUCCGUCUAGUCAAGGCUAUGGUUUUUCCAGGUGUCAUGUAUGGAUGUGAGAGUUGGACUGUGAAGAAAGCUGAGUGCCGAAGAAUUGAUGCUUUUGAGCUGUGGUGUUGGGAAAAGACUCUUGAGAGUCCCUUGGACUGCAAGGAGAUCCAACCAGUCCAUUUUGAAGGAGAUCAGCCCUGGGAUAUCUUUGGAGGGAAUGAUGCUGAAGCUGAAACUCCAGUACUUUGGCCACCUCAUGCAAAGGGUUGA